CCUACGGGAGGCAGCAGUAGGGAAUCUUUCACAAUGGGCGAAAGCCUGAUGGAGCAACGCCGCGUGCAGGAUGAAGGCCCUCGGGUUGUAAACUGCUUUUAUAAGCGAGAAAUAUGAUGGUAACUUAUGAAUAAGGAUCGGCUAACUACGUGCCAGCAGCCGCGGUCAUACGUAGGCUCCGAGAAUUAUCCGGGGUGACUGGGUGUAAAGAGUUGCGUUGGUGGGAUAAUAAGUAGCUAGUGAAAUCUGGUGGCUCAACCAAUCAGACUAUUAGCUAAACUGUUAAGCUCGAGACCGUUAGGGGUAACUGGAAUUUCUAGUGUAGGAGUGAAAUGCGUAGAUAUUAGAAGGAACACCAAUAGCGUAGGCAGGUUACUGGGACGGUUCUGACACUAAGGCACGAAAGCGUAGGGAGCAAACGGGAUUAGAUACCCCAGUAGUC
rnacentral:rRNA from 1 species